rnacentral:rRNA from 1 species
UAGAUAACCUAUUAUUAAAAAUGUAAAUUUUUUUACUUAAUUAGUAUUAGUUAUGUUCUUGAAAAUUAAAAAAUUUGGCGGUAUUUUAGUCUUUUCAGAGGAACCUGUUCUAUAAUCGAUAGUCCACGAUUAGAUGCACUUUAUUUAUUAGUUUAUAUAUCGUCGUAGUUUAAAUAUUUUAAUAGAAUUAUAAAUAUUUAAAAUUUUUUAUUAAAAAAUAAAUCAGAUCAAGGUGUAGUUUAUAAUAAAGAAGAAAUGGGUUACAAUAAAUUUAUUUUAAAAUAAUUUUUGUUAAAAAAAUUUGAAUUUGGAUUUGAGAGUAAUUUUUUAGAUUUUUUUAAGAUGAUUAAAGCUCUAAAAUAUGUACAUAUCGCCCGUCGCUUUCAUUUUAAAAUGAAAUAAGUCGAAACAUAGU